UACGAAGGGUGCAAGCGUUGUUCGGAAUCAUUGGGCGUAAAGGGUGCGUAGGCGGUUAAGUAAGUCAGCUGUGAAAUCCCGGGGCUCAACCCCGGAAUUGCAGUUGAAACUGCUUUACUAGAAUUUGGUUGGGGAUAAUGGAAUUCCUAGUGUAGGGGUGAAAUCCGUAGAUAUUAGGAGGAACAUCAGAGGCGAAGGCG
rnacentral:rRNA from 1 species